rnacentral:rRNA from 1 species
GAACCUUCGGGGAACGAUAACGGCGUCGAGCGGCGGACGGGUGAGUAAUGCCUAGGAAAUUGCCCUGAUGUGGGGGAUAACCAUUGGAAACGAUGGCUAAUACCGCAUAAUGCCUACGGGCCAAAAAGGGGGACCUUCGGGCCUCUCCCGUCAGGAUAUGCCUAGGUGGGAUUACCUAGUUGGUGAGGUAAGGGCUCACCAAGGCAACAAUCCCUAGCUGGUCUGAGAGGAUGAUCAGCCACACUGGAACUGAAACACGGUCCAAACUCCUACGGGAGGCAGCAGUGGGGAAUAUUGCACAAUGGGCGCAAGCCUGAUGCAGCCAUGCCGCGUGUAUGAAGAAGGCCUUC